rnacentral:rRNA from 1 species
GCUAUCGACAGGCUUAACACAUGCAAGUCGAGGGGCAGCACAGGUAGCAAUACCGGGUGGCGACCGGCGCACGGGUGAGUAACGCGUAUGCAACUUACCUAUCAGAGGGGGAUAACCCGGCGAAAGUCGGACUAAUACCGCAUGAAGCAGGGGCCCCGCAUGGGGAUAUUUGCUAAAGAUUCAUCGCUGAUAGAUAGGCAUGCGUUCCAUUAGGCAGUUGGCGGGGUAACGGCCCACCAAGCCGACGAUGGAUAGGGGUUCUGAGAGGAAGGUCCCCCACAUUGGUACUGAGACACGGACCAAACUCCUACGGGAGGCAGCAGUGAGGAAUAUUGGUCAAUGGCCGAGAGGCUGAACCAGCCAAGUCGCGUGAGGGAUGAAGGUUCUAUGGAUCGUAAACCUCUUUUAUAAGGGAAUAAAGUGCGGGACGUGUCCCGUUUUGUAUGUACCUUAUGAAUAAGGAUCGGCUAACUCCGUGCCAGCAGCCGCGGUAAUACGGAGGAUCCGAGCGUUAUCCGGAUUUAUUGGGUUUAAAGGGUGCGUAGGCGGCCUUUUAAGUCAGCGGUGAAAGUCUGUGGCUCAACCAUAGAAUUGCCGUUGAAACUGGGGGGCUUGAGUAUGUUUGAGGCAGGCGGAAUGCGUGGUGUAGCGGUGAAAUGCAUAGAUAUCACGCAGAACCCCGAUUGCGAAGGCAGCCUGCCAAGCCAUGACUGACGCUGAUGCACGAAAGCGUGGGGAUCAAACAGGAUUAGAUACCCUGGUAGUCCACGCAGUAAACGAUGAUCACUAGCUGUUUGCGAUACACUGUAAGCGGCACAGCGAAAGCGUUAAGUGAUCCACCUGGGGAGUACGCCGGCAACGGUGAAACUCAAAGGAAUUGACGGGGGCCCGCACAAGCGGAGGAACAUGUGGUUUAAUUCGAUGAUACGCGAGGAACCUUACCCGGGUUUGAACGCAUUCGGACCGAGGUGGAAACACCUUUUCUAGCAAUAGCCGUUUGCGAGGUGCUGCAUGGUUGUCGUCAGCUCGUGCCGUGAGGUGUCGGCUUAAGUGCCAUAACGAGCGCAACCCUUACCACUAGUUACUAACAGGUAAAGCUGAGGACUCUGGUGGGACUGCCAGCGUAAGCUGCGAGGAAGGCGGGGAUGACGUCAAAUCAGCACGGCCCUUACAUCCGGGGCGACACACGUGUUACAAUGGCGUGGACAAAGGGAAGCCACCUGGCGACAGGGAGCGAAUCCCCAAACCACGUCUCAGUUCGGAUCGGAGUCUGCAACCCGACUCCGUGAAGCUGGAUUCGCUAGUAAUCGCGCAUCAGCCAUGGCGCGGUGAAUACGUUCCCGGGCCUUGUACACACCGCCCGUCAAGCCAUGGGAGCCGGGGGUACCUGAAGUCCGUAACCGCGAGGAUCGGCCUAGGGUAAAACUGGUGACU